AUUGAACGCUGGCGGCAGGCCUAACACAUGCAAGUCGAGCGGAUGAAGGGAGCUUGCUCCUGGAUUCAGCGGCGGACGGGUGAGUAAUGCUUAGGAAUCUGCCUAUUAGUGGGGGACAACAUUUCGAAAGGAAUGCUAAUACCGCAUACGUCCUACGGGAGAAAGCAGGGGAUCUUCGGACCUGGCGCUAAUAGAUGAGGCUAAGUCGGAUUAGCUAGUUGGUGGGGUAAAGGCCUACCAAGGCGACGAUCUGUAGCGGGUCUGAGAGGAUGAUCGGCCACACUGGGACUGAGACACGGCCCAGACUCCUACGGGAAGCAGCAGUGGAGAAUAUUGGACAAUGGGCGCAAGCCUGAUCCAGCCAUGCCGCGUGUGUGAAGAAGGCCUUAUGGUUGUAAAGCACUUUAAGCGAGGAGGAGGCUACUUUAGAUAAUACCUAGAGAUAGUGGACGUUACUCGCAGAAUAAGCACCGGCUAACUCUGUGCCAGCCGCCGCGGUAACAC
rnacentral:rRNA from 1 species